rnacentral:rRNA from 1 species
GACGAACGCUGGCGGCGUGCUUAACACAUGCAAGUCGAACGGUAAGGCCCUUCGGGGUACACGAGUGGCGAACGGGUGAGUAACACGUGGGUGAUCUGCCCUGCACUUCGGGAUAAGCCUGGGAAACUGGGUCUAAUACCGGAUAGGACUCCUGCCUGCAUGGGUGGGGGUGGAAAGCUUUUGCGGUGUGGGAUGGGCCCGCGGCCUAUCAGCUUGUUGGUGGGGUGAUGGCCUACCAAGGCGACGACGGGUAGCCGGCCUGAGAGGGUGACCGGCCACACUGGGACUGAGAUACGGCCCAGACUCCUACGGGAGGCAGCAGUGGGGAAUAUUGCACAAUGGGCGCAAGCCUGAUGCAGCGACGCCGCGUGAGGGAUGACGGCCUUCGGGUUGUAAACCUCUCAGCACAGACGAAGCGCAAGUGACGGUAUGUGCAGAAGAAGGACCGGCCAACUACGUGCCAGCCGCCGCAGUAA